AUUUUCACAAUAAGCACAAGAAGAUUAAAUCAAGAACUAAAGAGAAUUAUCAUUGAAAUCCAAUAAAAAAUUCAUUAAACUUCAUCCUUCACUCUAGUAGAGAGAUUAGUUACUCAUACUAGAUAAACAAUAAACACAAUAAAUAACUAAAGAAAAUAUAAUUAAGAUUGAGAGUUAGAGAAAACACUAUUUUAAUCUCCAAGGAAUUAUGAAAUCUC
rnacentral:lncRNA from 1 species